rnacentral:rRNA from 1 species
CCUACGGGAGGCAGCAGUGGGGAAUAUUGGACAAUGGGCGCAAGCCUGAUCCAGCAAUGCCGCGUGAGUGAUGAAGGCCUUAGGGUCGUAAAGCUCUUUUACCAGGGAUGAUAAUGACAGUACCUGGAGAAUAAGCUCCGGCUAACUCCGUGCCAGCAGCCGCGGUAAUACGGAGGGAGCUAGCGUUGUUCGGAAUUACUGGGCGUAAAGCGUACGUAGGCGGUUAUUCAAGUCAGAGGUGAAAGCCCGGGGCUCAACCCCGGAACGGCCUUUGAAACUAGGUAGCUAGAAUCUUGGAGAGGUCAGUGGAAUUCCGAGUGUAGAGGUGAAAUUCGUAGAUAUUCGGAAGAACACCAGUGGCGAAGGCGACUGACUGGACAAGUAUUGACGCUGAGGUACGAAAGCGUGGGGAGCAAACAGGAUUAGAUACCCUGGUAGUCCACGCCGUAAACGAUGAUAACUAGCUGUUCGGGCACUUGGUGCUUGAGUGGCGCAGCUAACGCAUUAAGUUAUCCGCCUGGGGAGUACGGUCGCAAGAUUAAAACCUUAAAGGAAUUGAACGG